rnacentral:lncRNA from 1 species
UGAGCAGAGAGCCCGAUAUGGGUCUCUAUUCCAGGACCCUGGGAUCAUGACCGGAGCUGAAGGCAGAGGCUUUAACCCACUGAGCCAUCCAGAGAGAAAAGGCAAACAUUCCUUAGCGCCUGGACCAGCCCAGCAAACGGCAGCAUGUCAUUUCAACCAUUCCAAAAUGCCCUUUGUUCCCUGAUGGCAAUGAUAGCCAACAUUAUCCAGGACCUGAAAAUGCCAGGAACUGAGCUAAGUGCUUUAUGUAUUUCAUGAUUUACUCUU